GGGGUUGUGGGCCAACCUGGUUAAGCUUGCUGGUUUGGGGCCAGCCGAUCCCGGUUCAAAUCCGGGCAGCCCCA
rnacentral:tRNA from 1 species